AACGAACGCUGGCGGCAUGCCUAACACAUGCAAGUCGAACGAGAUCUUCGGGUCUAGUGGCGCACGGGUGCGUAACGCGUGGGAAUCUGCCCUUUGGUUCGGAAUAACAGUUGGAAACGACUGCUAAUACCGGAUGAUGACGAAAGUCCAAAGAUUUAUCGCCAGAGGAUGAGCCCGCGUAGGAUUAGCUAGUUGGUGUGGUAAAGGCGCACCAAGGCGACGAUCUUUAGCUGGUCUGAGAGGAUGAUCAGCCAGACUGGGACUGAGACACGGCCCAGACUCCUACGGGAGGCAGCAGUAGGGAAUUUUCCACAAUGGGCGAAAGCCUGAUGGAGCAACGCCGCGUGCAGGAUGAAGGCCUUCGGGUUGUAAACUGCUUUUUUCUGUGACGAUUAUGACGGUAGCAGACGAAUAAGGACCGGCUAACUACGUGCCAGCAGCCGCGGUAA
rnacentral:rRNA from 1 species